CUUUGUUUGACGUGAUAUACGUGUGUUCUCAAUGUCAAUAUCGAAUCGAUUUUAUUAAGGUAGUGGACCGUGGCCUUUGGGGAAAUGUUUAGUAUUUGGUAGUGCAAACUCUGGCUAAUAUUCAAGACUUUGUACUAUGUACUCAUCGUUACCGUUUCUAAGUUUAGUGUAGCUACAUUGUUUCUAUAUUUUGCUGCCUCUAAAUUUACGUUGUGAAUUUACUCAAAACAAAAUAUGGCCGGUAUUUUGGUUACAUUUUAGGACUGAUAUUAACCGCUGACAAUUCAGUUGAGGUUUCGUGCUUAGGGGAAGGGAACCACGAAAUGCUAGUAAUAUUUCUUGAAUGUUUUCUUAUUGCAAUUCUGCUCGAUACUCUGAGAAGAGCUGCUCGCCUUUAGUCUCAAUUCGGCUUACAAACAGGGAAGUGGAGAAGGACAGUUCGAUUUUCAGGUAGCAGAGAUGCCGCAGCAACCAGGAUACGUAACACGAUGGAGGAAAAGGAAAUUAAGAAAUUAAAUCUGGAAAAUGAAAGUAGCAGAGAUGCCGCAGCAACCAGGAUACGUAACACGGUGGAGGAAAAUGGAGUAAACUAAAUCUGUAAACAAUAAACUAAAUCGAGAAACUCAAAAGGAACAAUCUGUAAACCGAAAAUAUUUUCAUUGCGAAUUAGAUGGUAUGGUGGAUGCACGAGUUGACAAAACUAUCACCUCCUGGCGAUUACCUACAUGACAUUCCCAUUGGAAAGAUUUGGAUAUGCUUCCAGACUUGUUUCAAGUAGUUGUGAAGACUGGAUGGAUUAUCCUGUUAUUGCAUUCUGAAUAAGUGCUGCUAAUAUAUGCAAGACUCUUGGAUGGAAAGAAGGUAAAAUGCAGACGUGUAAGAUAGUAUGAACUACCUUUUAUGUAAGGGAAGAAAUUGAAGGUUGGUAGUGUAAUUAAUGGAAUUGGUUGUUUAACUAAUGGAAAUAUUAGAACUAGUCAGGUGUAGAGAAAUCCUUCUGGCAAUGGCCAGCUGUAAAUUUAAACAGUUGCAGCGAGUUAGUGUAAAUUGAAAGUGCAUUGUCCUAUCUAUUUACAGUAGUUCAUGGAGCAAAGAUAUACCUUAAAUUUUGUGGGGGUUAGAUUAGUUGUACUAUAUGCUGCUUUAAUGUGAAGGUAAAUUUUGUUAGUGACUGUUCAACUAGAGUAUCUGAAAUUUUCACUAAAACGAACCAUAAUUCCUUGCUUUGGAGAAUAUUUAAUUACAAAGCUUAUUGCACACUAUUUGUUAACGCUUUCGUACUGACUGGCUUGAAACAUGUACAGUAGCUUCAUUGGCAGUCUGCAUUGUGCAUUGUAAAGCUACUAGAGGCAAUAACUUGAGGAUGGUUGGUUCUGACUUAAGUUUCCGAGUAAGCCAAAAAAGAUUUCCAGGAUCCAAAAGCUGCUAAAAUAAACUCUUGCAAGGCCAGCCUGUUCUUAAAAGAAUGGUGCCUAACAUGAUAUAUGUACUUGUAUAGUUGAACGUAUGCAGAUAAUUUUUUAAAAUUUUAUUAGUUUGAAAGGCUGAAGCUAUCUUGAAUUAGAAUAGUUAAAUCAUAAAAUCCAUUGAGAACUGUAAAAUUCAAACUGUUUUCAAACUCUGGUGAAUGUGCAGUAUUAAUUCUGAGGAUGCACAUCUAGGCAAACCCUGUUUUAAUAAAAAGAAAAUCAGAUUUAAUGUGUUUUUAAUAUACUAAUCAGAUUCAUCUUCUGAACAUGGCUUGCUGAAUGAAAUUACAGAAGAAAUGGUUUUGUUAGCUAGACUUGAUAGGUUUAUGCAUGUUUGAGUUGUAAAACUUUUUUUUUUUUUUUUACACUGAAAUUUUCAGUGUCAAAUAUAGGUGCCCUGAGUAAGGUUGAGGGUUAAACCCUACCCUUAUGGCAGAUUGGCAGUGCCCUAACACUGUAAGAGCAGAGGGCUGUUGAAUGUAUGAAUUUUGAGUGUUUACCUUGCAGAUGGACUUUGCGCAUAGCCUACUUUUAUAUGAAGUGGUUCACAAUUAUUGUGGGCAUUCAAAGACUUAAUGAGUUUUUUGCUUGACAUAGGCUGGAAAACAAAAGCAAAUGCCCAAUACAAAUUUUGGUAAAUUUCUUUACAUUAUUUUACCAGUUACCAAAUAAAACUCUUCUCUUGCAUACCUCAUUGAAAAGCUUGCAUGAUUAGCAUGUACUGCACAUGAAGUCAAACACACUUAUCAAAAUUUAAUUAGGUGACUUAAGCUUGCCUUGCAAAACUUGUAAAAAGGCUCCUAGGUGAUACUAUAUCAAGGAAACUUCUCUUGUAUUCUAGCUCAGCCUCAGUGUUCACUUAAAAAAGAUUUUAGACUGAGCUAGACAAAGCUAGAGCAACUGUGUGGGAAAAGACAGUGUUAAAAUAAUGUAAAACUUGUUUAAAAAGUUAUUGCAAAAUGUAGAAAAUUGGUACAGUUGAACCUCUAUUUGCAUACAUAAUCCGUUUCAGAACGUCUAACGAAGGCUAAAACGUACGAAAUCAGAAACAAUGAUUCCCAUGAGGAAUACAAAUUAAAUACUAGUACAAUUAAUGUAUGUAUCAUUAGGGUUUCAAGGAUUAAAGUUUGGUGGUAACUAGUUAAUGCAGUGAAAAAUAGCUCUAUGAAAACUUGCUCAACCUUUGUUUGGCAGUUUGUUGGUGGUAAAGAAUUACUCCUCAAUGAUUUGCGAAAUGUAAUACGCUUGCUCAUUACAUUUGCCAUGAGUUUGGGGUUUUGGGCUGUACCAUAUUUUCAGAAGAGAGCCAGAGCUGUAGAGCUAAGGAAUGAAAUUAGUCCAUUGUUACUGAAGGUGUAGUCAUUAACCAUGAUGUUUAUCUGGUGUCACUAAGAAGUCUGCCCGUUGAUUAGGUGAAGGCAGAAUAUUCUUUUCUGGAUGGCUGUCAUGGAAAUUCAGUAGUUAGUUAAGCUGGAGGAGUAAACAAAUAGCGAUUUAGACGUUUAAGCUGGAGGGUGGUACUAAACCUGGAGGGAGUAACAUGAAGAUUCAGAAGUUAAUUUCUUUAUCUGUUACCACUUCCAGCUUACCUUCUGAACCUCCAUAUGUUACCUCCCAUGGCUUCACUCCGUGCAGAUUAACUUUUUGAUCUUUGUUUUAGCUGGAGGGAUAAAUUAUGCCUCUGGCCGAGAUAUAUUAGAAAGGUAAACUAAGUUUACCUCAGCCAUUUUAGAUUUUUAUCUCUGGCUUUAAGCUGGAGGGAUAAAUUAUACAUCUGGCCAAGAUAUGUUAGUUUACCUUUAAGUUUACCUCUCAGCCAUUUUAGUUAAGCCCCUUUUAGUUUGAUUUGUUUUGAAUUAUAUACAAAAAUGAUACUGUAGCCAAAAGCAUAGUAUUGAGGGGUAUAUAUAAAAUGUAAUG